GACGAACGCUGGCGGCGUGCUUAACACAUGCAAGUCGAACGGAAAGGCCCUGCUUUUGUGGGGUGCUCGAGUGGCGAACGGGUGAGUAACACGUGAGUAACCUGCCCUUGACUUUGGGAUAACUUCAGGAAACUGGGGCUAAUACCGGAUAGGAGCUCCUGCUGCAUGGUGGAGGUUGGAAAGUUUCGGCGGUUGGGGAUGGACUCGCGGCUUAUCAGCUUGUUGGUGGGGUAGUGGCUUACCAAGGCUUUGACGGGUAGCCGGCCUGAGAGGGUGACCGGCCACAUUGGGACUGAGAUACGGCCCAGACUCCUACGGGAGGCAGCAGUGGGGAAUAUUGCACAAUGGGCGGAAGCCUGAUGCAGCAACGCCGCGUGCGGGAUGACGGCCUUCGGGUUGUAAACCGCCUUCGCCUGUGACGAAGCGUGAGUGACGGUAAUGGGUAAAGAAGCACCGGCUAACUACGUG
rnacentral:rRNA from 1 species